GUUAUCAUCUCUACUAACAAAACAAAUUAAACAGCUUUGGCGAGAAAAAAUGAAACAUGACAGGUACAUCAGGGCAUCAUUGAAGCUGGUCGUCAGGAGAAGUUGGCAGUGAACUUAAAGUCAGCGACGCCGCCGCCGCACACAUAUAUUGCCGGCGCCGCACAUAUUGGUCGGGAACAAGAGAUAGUGUGCCAACUAAAUCGGAGCUGGUGCAUGCAGUGGCGGAUACAUGGAAGACAUCAGAUGGCAGAAGGAAGAGGAAGACGGCAACAAGUGACGCCGCCGUAUCCAUGGCAAUGCCGUCAUGGUGGCGCCGCCGGAUCAGCGCAGCAAAUUCUCACGAAGAAGCCGGCGCAAAAACAAAUGUACGGCGCCGACAUGGCAUGGACGCCGACAAACGCUGCAAAUUUUCAAUAAAGGAACGGCGCCAACAAAAUGGGCAGCGUAAAGCCCAAAUAGUAGCGCCGGCGUUUGUGUUAUUUGACGCCGAAUAAAACCGGCAAUUGGACGCAGCAGAUGCAGCAGAUGCGCAGCCGACAGACGCCGGCCAAAUUUAUUUGUUAUUCAGCCACUCGUCGGGAAGGUUCCAUGAUAUCCAAAACAUGAGGCAGAGGACGGACGCGCAUCAUGCUGUGCCAACGUGGGAACAUGGACCAACGCUGGACAUCUCCGAUGGACCAACGAGGGACCAACGCGGGACAUCGACGGUGGACCAGAGAGGGACGACAUCGGUGGGUGGCUGCAGGCGCUAGUGCAUGGCCGCCACAGCUGCUGGACCCCGAUGAGGACGCCGAGGGAGGAUGGUCACAGUGAGUAGCGCCAACGUGGGACCGUUCAGUGAAAGCCGGCGCCAUCAUCGCAAACCUAGGCAUGGCGUCGGCUGCGGUGGCUGCCGUCGUGAAAUUGGCCACAAACGACUGGGGCAUGCUGCCGCCGUAAAUGGAUGCGCCUCACAGUGACCACAGCAGCGAUGGAUUAUAAAUUAUUCAGGAACGCCAAAUUCUAGAGAAGGCGCGUCAAGCUGGGCCAUGGCCGGACAAAUGGGAGCC